rnacentral:rRNA from 1 species
AUGACGUCAAGUCCUCAUGGCCCUUAUAGGUAGGGCUACACACGUCAUACAAUGGAUGGUACAAAGGGUCGCCAACCCGCGAGGGGGUAAGCCCAAUCCCAUAAACCAUUCGUAGUCCGGAUCGCAGUCUGCAACUCGACUGCGUGAAGUCGGAAUCGCUAGUAAUCGUGGAUCAGAAUGUCACGGUGAAUACGUUCCCGGGUCUU